CCGUGGACAUUGCACCUGGGGAAGGCAAGGGCGUGUCCAAGUAAUGUAUUGUGAGGAAUCUUCCCCGAGUCACCUGAGCGGACCUGAGUUCCAGCUGAGUGCAGGGGACAGGUUCCUGGUUCUGACUCGGUUCGUCCCCUGCGAAUCGAGCUCUUCACACGGAACCUGUCCAGGACGGGCGACAGAAUUUGCCUGCAACCUAUUUCCAGCUUCCAGCUGGGUCCGCGCCAAAACAGGAAAGCCCCUGAUCCCUUGAAGGGGAAAAUAGCUCUAGCUUCAGCUGCAGGAUCGCAAAGUUCUGGGUGCAAACUUCGCUCAGAAGUUUGGGCGGCUUCAACGAGCAAAGCAACCCCUAGAGCGGAGACUCGGCUCUGCUCCGCCUGACUCCAGUGCCUACGCCAGCAGCGUGUUCGCGGUGCCAGAAAAUCCCACCUGAGAGCCUUGGCACGCUCCUUAUCAGCCCAGGUGCACGGUGUACCCCUGGCAUCUAGAGAGCUGACGCUUGAGAACCCUGCCAAAUCUUUCUUUAUAGUUCUGGAUUGCGGGGGGGCGGGGCGGUGGUGUUAACUCGGUUUCGCUUACUUAAUCGUCUUUGAAGAAAAAAGAUCACUAGAAUGCUUUCUCAAUUAAAUGAUCAGAUCUAGAAGGAAAUACCGCAGUGGGAGUUCUGCUUCUGGUGAUUUGUUGACGUGGAGUUUCUUCCAUCCAAGUUACAGCGAUUAUAGGUUCACGCUGAGUACAAUGAAGGAAGGAAGUGAAGGAAGAAACAUCUUUAAAAUCUUACUGGCAAGAGGAGAGAAAGAGAAAAGAAAUUCUGGCUAAUAAAGACUCACAUGUUUUGUGCCCAAGAAUUUUUAAAGGGUCAGACUGUAAAUAAACCCCAAAGCACUUUAAUAAAUG